rnacentral:lncRNA from 1 species
GUGCUCUGUGGCUGAAUACCUACUGCAUUGAUGAAAGUGCUGCUCCAAUUGCUCCAAAAGAGAAAUGCUGCUCCAAAGUCUGAUUUUUGUUCGUAACUGCUCUGAACCUGCUCCGAAAUGGAACUGAGAAAAUGAAGACGCACUUCUAACCGUGUGAUUUAACAAGAAGUGGUAUAUCAAACAUAUAGCUCAUUUAGCUGUUUUUAACUUGCCAUGCAGGCGAUUUUGGUGAAAUGUGAAAAUGACCGAGAUUGCUCUGAUUUCAUACUGAUUAUCAACUGCUGUUUUGGCAACAGUUAUAUAUGUGACUAUAGUUACUUUUAUAAUGUGGGACUCAACUUUACCACUUUACCACAUUUCCGCUACAAGUACUGGUAUUUGAAAUAUGUAACUCAUUUCAUGGCCCAUCCGACAACCAACCUACUUUUUAAUUGUUUGUUUCUUGCAGUUUACAUUGUUCUCUGUGCAGUGACUUUCAUAAUAUGUAUUAAUAUUUAUGAGAUGCUUUGUUGGUGCUUUGGAUUGCCGGAGCUGUAAGGCAUAUUUUGCCGUCUGCGCCUAAAGCACCAGUAGCUGCUCUAAACUAGCAUUUUUUUCUGCUCCAAAAACACUUAUGGCAGCUCUAAAGCAGUAUUUUUUUCUGCUCUGAAAUGUGCUCCAAAAAGUCAAAAGUCGCUUCCAUCACUGCUACUGUGUAACCCACUGUGUUACCCACAAUUUAAUUUGAAAGUUUGAAUUUCAGGCUGCAUAUGUCUGGCGUUUCUGUGUCUGUUUUUGCGGUGGCUUCUGCUACAUUAAAAUUCAGGCAAACAUCUUUGGUUGAGCUUGUAGUGUGACGUAGCCUCAGUUUGUCUCGUUUUGCAUUGCUCUUGUGAAAACAACUAUGUCAGUAUUGUUCAUGAUAACGUACAAUUAUUGACGUUAAAUAUAGUAAACACAAACAGUGCUCGACGAGCUCUGCAUUUUCAUUAUGCAUGCCAAUGCGGGAAUGGAAUGUUCCUUGUGAUGCGGAGCAUUCGUAAAUUAAAGUGCAGGCAACCCCGUAACUAUUCUUCUGCAUUGUUUCAUUUCCAGUGUGGCUUGAAUUUGUAGAAGUGGUUUAACUUGUACACAUGGGUCCUACUCCAUGCUUAGAAAAGGGCUACAGAGUGUACUUUAUGAGUGUACAAAGUGUACAUCUUGUACUUUCGCCUAAUUACAUCAUGUUCACCAUCGUAAUUGCUCAUGUUUAUUUUAGUUUUUCAUGAGCAGCAAAACAGACUCGUGCUAGUUAGUCUUGCGUGAUGGUUAUAUGGUAGUGCAUUAUAGAAGAGAUGACUGCAGAAAACAACACACUGUGAGUCGGUCUGCUUACUACUAGUGCUGGUUUGUAAAGCGAUAGUGUCGAACGAGGGCCCCAGAUAUUGCAUUCAAAGUUUACUUGCCACCUUUAUCCCCGGAAAGCCGGGCACCAAAGGCCGGCCAUUGCGAGCAGCUUGUCAUGGCUUCGAUUUCACUUUUGAAUCCAUUGCGAUGCUUGGUUUCCUGCAGACUCGUUCAAAGGUGUGGGGGGGGGGGGUGGCGCUGCGAUAAAACGUUGCUCCCCCCAUCAGAGAACCCUGCACAUGCCUACGCCAUUACAAUAUGUAAUUGUGCAGAAUCUUACUUGUGAUAGCAAGUUGUACUCUUCGUUUGCGCGGUUCAUGUUACGUUUUCUGAAAAGAGUUUGUGUAUCAUGUCUACUGGUGCAGUAAAGAAAAAUAACAGGUUAAAAAAAUACUCGAAGGUUCGCACCACGAAAACAGCCUGCAUUUCCUGAACACAUGCUAGAUCGGCCCAGCGUACGUAUGUACCACAGAGGGCUCCAAUCUUUCAUCUUCCUGGUGCAAAUACGCAAAAAUGUAAAUGAUUCAGUUGAUAAGCAAGAGAAUUGAUGUCAUUUUAACCUUGUUCAAAAGAAACUACUUUUGGAUGCCCUUUCUGCCACAGCUUAGUGUGAAUAGCUUGUUUUUGUUAGAAAAACCAAUUCGCAGCACUUCAACUAAGUAAUGCAUUAGUUUCAUGAUAUCAAAUCAAAGCUUUAAAAUUUUUAUAUGCAAUUUUUAACUUCUCUUGUGGCCUUUCUUAUGGCAACCUCAUCACAUUUAUGAAUGAAAGUUCUGCCCAUAAUUCUCAUGCUUUGAAUGUAACACCUUUCUUUGCUCGUACUAAUGCAUUUAAAUACAGUAUUUGACCUUGUGCAAUAAUAGAGCUUUGAAAUUCCCUCUGCAGUGACAUUCGCUCCUUACCACCAAAAGUUUUCAUAGGUGCAACUAAAGAUCAUCUUGCUGACAUGUAAACUACUUCAUUGUUAUUAUUUUUCUCUCGUGUAUGUAUUUUUUUUCACCAUUAGUAGUAUUUUCUUGCAUUUUAUUGUUUGCUCUCUUACCAGCAUUAUAUAACAUUUCCAUUACUUCUGUAGCUCUAAAUAGAGCUGCAGUAUGUGUAAAUAAAUAAAGAAAUAAAUAAUGCAUGCAUAAGAACAUGCCCAGUAGGAUGAAACAUCACAGAUGCCAAUUUUUGUUGUAUCAUGGUUCAACAUCGCAAUAAAAACGGACGAAAACACAAAACAGGAGAAUAAACCACAAACAGCACCUGUUUGGGCUUUAUUCUCCUCUUUUGCAUUCUUGUCCGUUUUUUUUUUGCGCUGUUACACCAUGAACCAUUAUCAACUGGCCCAGCUUACCACACUUCUGCUAUGUUGUAUGUUUAAGAAAUCAUUCUUUCACCCUUCUGCUUCAAAAGCUUGUACUUUCAUGGCUUCGUUAAAUCGAUAACUGUAGGGCUAUUGAGGCAACCAAAAUAGCUUGUGGUGGUUUCUCAUGCCUUCGGAGUUGGUGCCAUACGACUGUAGAGUAUUCAAAACCUUGCUUUACGUGGUUGUUGUGCGACCGAUGGUUCUCGACUUUCCCGCCAGGAGAUGUUUUUGUAAAACUGAGGGUGAAAACUUGUAAGCUAGGGCAAACUGCUUGUAGCUCCUUCGUUCUGACUGGAUGUGGUCAUUCGUUCACUUUGCUCCCUUCUUUGCUUUCAGCAAGGACUGCAAGGAAGGGUCCCCGAAGAUUACCAUUUUCUUCGCAAGUUGACCUUUGCUGCCUGUCUUCAAUGGUAACAGAGGCCUGGCCGGUGGAUCAAGGCUUGUGGAGUGUCGAGGCCGAGGCGUCCGACGACUCGACGUCGGACGUUCGGAGGCUCCCAUUGCCUCCGUGGUCGAGGGUGUCGGGCGUGUGGCGGUGCAACCGGUGCAUGUACACGGCGCCCGACAUCUAUCGGAUCAAGCGGCACCAGGUGACGCACACCGGCGAGCGCCGUUACUACUGCCCCAUCUGCCAGGCGCGUUUCACCGCCAAGCAGAGCGUCAAGACCCACAUGCGUCGGCACACAGGCGAAAGGCCGUUUGCGUGCAGCUGGUGCCCGGCGCGCUUCACACGGAGUCAACGCCUGGCGAGACAUUUGGAGACUUGUGAUGCUGGUGCUGGCUUUGAGCAAGCGGCGUGACGUGGUUGGAGGUCAUUGUGAUUGUGUCACUUGUCGUAUAGCAUGUUAGUGAAAGAAGUGAUUGUGGAAUGACUCAAGGUGAGCUAUCGUUCGUUGGGACUCAUUGCAGAAAAGCUAGCCAUGCAGACAAGGACAGUAGAGCACCAAGUUGGGCUAGUUGGUGUGCAUUCAUUUUGUAAUGGCUUCAACUGCGUUGUAACAAGGACAACAGAAGAUGAGAAGAUGCAUGUGCAUAUGUGCCGUCUUCUCGUCUUUGAUUGUCCUUAUAGUGCUGUUAAAACCAUUACAAAAUGAAAGACCAAGGACACAAUAGAAGGAAAACAGAUGAUGUAAAUAUCAGCUAUCGACUAAGAAAAGUUGCACUGCGGUGUAAAAGAGGGCAGGCACGAAACUUCCAUGCAUGCCCUCAGGAAUGGCAUUGCUACCCAUCAAUCUGGUACUCGUGCGGGCCUACGCAAAAGAUAACUUUUUAAGCCUGACCUUUCUACUUUGUGCAAGGUAAUUUAAAGCUGACUUACGCAUGCACUUCUGCUUUUGAUAUGCCGAGCCCCAACUCUCUUCAUUGACUGUUGUCGUAAAUAUGCACCGGAGUCUGAUGAUUGCACACUUAUACGCGGGCAUAAGAAUGAAGAAACUCAUCUUCUGGUUGAAGUUUCGAAUAUCCAUAUAGUGGGAGUGCAUGCUUAAUAAUAAUAUCUGGAGUUUAACGUCCCAAAACCACGAUAUGAUUAUGAGGGAUGCUGUAGUGGAGGGCUCCGGAAAUUUCGACCACCUGGGGUUCUUUAACGUGCACUUAAAUCUAACGUACUACACGGGCCUCAAACAUUUUCGCCUCCAUCGAAAACGCAGCCGCCGCGUGUGCUUGCUUAAGCCUGCCUUUGGCUACCUUGCAUUGAGAUGAAGGGUCAUCCUUCAACCGUUACCUUUCGCGUAAGCCUGCACAUGUCCCAGACUGAUGGAUGGUGGUGCUGCCAUUCCUGGCCAUGUGCUGGCCAGUUCUGCCACAGUGCAAACAUUCACUCGAGAGUCGGCAUUUGUGCUGUGUGAUUUUCUUUUGUCCUUGUCUGUACACCUAAGUUCUUCUGUGAUGAAGUGAUUGUGGUUGGCAAGCAAGCUGGGACUUAAAAGCCAAUUGUGAUGAAGUCACACUUGAAUGCAACUUGUUGAAAAUAAGUUGUGGACGUCAUCAAUGUUUUUGCAGCUGAGCUGUAAAGAUAGUGGUUAACUGGUCAUGCAGCAUAUUGGGUUCAAAAAAUGGCUAGGAUUGUCAACAAGUCGGGAGAAGGCCAGUUGCAACAGAAUCACACUUGAGCUGCUGAAGCUUGUCGCUAACGUUACCGUGGCAAAGCUGUAAACCCAGCAACAAAAUUGCUUUUUAGUUGACAGCGUUCAGAUUGUCACGUGUCAGUCAUCGAGAUGACGUGCUCGUAGUGAAAACAAUAGGCUAUUGAUUCAUUGAUCGACUGGAACUUAUUGCACUGCCUCUUACUUCCGCUAAGCUCAUCGAUGAUUCUCUCGACCGAUGGCCUUGCAGCCGCAAGUGAAAACCAUGGCUCCUUCCUAUUCUUGACACCAUUAGGUGCCGGUAGUUGACUGCUCACUGACACAUGUAACGUGUGUCCCAUGUGUGACAAGGGACCUUAGUCGCACGUGUGGUAUGUGACAUCGUGUAAAUCCAAAUAAGGCAGAUCAGUGGAAGAUGGAAGCUCCAAGCGAUGAAAAAUCCUUGAACGUGGGUGUCACUGGAGCAAACGUUUUGACAAGUGGACUUGUCUUCUUCAAGGCUGUAACUGCCUGCCUUAGCGUGUGUAUGCUUCAUACCCUCUACAAAACAUACACAACACACACAAACAACAUACAAACAUACACAAGGUAGACAGUUGCUGCCUUGGAGAAGAGAAGUCCACUUGUCGAAACGUUGGUUCCAGCGGCACUCCGUGUUCAAGAGAUUUUUUCUGUGACAUUUUGUGUCACACGUGCUAACAAGCACGUGGAGCAAAUGGGCACAUUUACUGAUGUGAUUAGGCGGAUGCGAUGUCUGUCCCAGAAUCGCCCGGCACAUUACGCAGUGUGUAGGUUGUAUUCUCUGUCCUUAAAAUAUGCGAAUACAUCUUUGAAACUGCAGUUUGAACACAGCAUAUUGCAUCUCCAGACAAGUCGGCGAGCAUGCUGGUUAUGGUCAGGCUAACUCUCGGUACUAUGUCACAUCAAACAAGCUGUAACAGCAGCACCUUUUUGCUGGCUUCGAUACGGAAAGUGUAAAUUUCUGCUGGUGGUUCGUGGUGUGUGUCUUUGCAUUUCAUGCACAAAAUUUUUGCACCGAGCUUUCUGUGCAGAUUCAGUGUCAUUGCAAUUACACCUCGCACAAUGUGAAAUUUCGCUGUCGUUGGCCUUUGAUUGACAUUUCGGGUGUCUAGUAUGCCGGUCCUGAAACAUCGUUCAUUAAACAGCGGCUGUGAAUACUUCUGGCCAGUUUGUUCGACACGUGAAAGCUGAGCUUGCCGAGUUGAGUCUUAAACCGGUCACGCAUUACAUGUUUCUUACAGCAG